rnacentral:rRNA from 1 species
GACGAACGCUGGCGGCGUGCUUAACACAUGCAAGUCGAACGGAAAGGCCCUGCUUUUGUGGGGUGCUCGAGUGGCGAACGGGUGAGUAACACGUGAGUAACCUGCCCUUGACUUUGGGAUAACUUCAGGAAACUGGGGCUAAUACCGGAUAGGAGCUCCUGCUGCAUGGUGGGGGCUGGAAAGUUUCGGCGGUUGGGGAUGGACUCGCGGCUUAUCAGCUUGUUGGUGGGGUAGUGGCUUACCAAGGCUUUGACGGGUAGCCGGCCUGAGGGGGUGACCGGCCACAUUGGGACUGAGAUACGGCCCAGACUCCUACGGGAGGCAGCAGUGGGGAAUAUUGCACAAUGGGCGGAAGCCUGAUGCAGCAACGCCGCGUGCGGGAUGACGGCCUUCGGGUUGUAAACCGCUUUCGCCUGUGACGAAGCGUGAGUGACGGUAAUGGGUAAAGAAGCACCGGCUAACUACGUG